AGGGAACAAAAAUAUGCAGUGGUGGAGAGGGAUUGCCUUGCUGUAAAAUGGGCCAUGGAAGCAUUGCACUACUACUUGCUUGGACACAGAUUUGUCCUUGUGACCAACCAUGCCCCUCUUCAAUGGAUGCAGCAGAACAAGAACACAAGGGUGACCAGGUGGUUCUUAUCCCUCCAACCUUUCCAGUUCCGUGUGCAACACAGAAUAGGGGGCUGUCACGGCAAUGCCAAUGGCUUGUCACGUAUCCACUGUCUGGCAUCCCAAGCUGCCCAACCCCUUGGUGUUGAGCAGGGGGAAGGGAUAUGUGACAGACCCAAACCAGUGGGGUACAGGAGUCUGUUAAAGGGCAACUAUACUGGUAACUAGGUAAGUCGUUUUCUGUUCUGAGUGACCAAAGCAGGGGCUGCAGUAGAGUGAUCAGGAACCUGCUAGAACCAAUUCAGGCAGAUGGGCUGAUUAAAACACCUGCAGUCAAUCACAGCAGGCUAAUCAGGGCACCUGGGUUUAAAAAGUAGCUUACUCCAGUCAGGGAGGGAGGAGUUAG